CCUGGGAACUGCGUUNUGAACUGGGUAGCUAGAGUAUGUCAGAGGGGGGUAGAAUUNCACGUGUAGCAGUGAAAUGCGUAGAGAUGUGGAGGAAUACCGAUGGCGAAGGCAGCCCCCUGGGAUAAUACUGACGUUCAUGCUCGAAAGCGUGGGUAGCAAACAGGAUUAGAUACCCUGGUAGUCCACGCCCUAAACGAUGUCGAUUAGCUGUUGGGCAGCUUGACUGCUUAGUAGCGUAGCUAACGCGUGAAAUCGACCGCCUGGGGAGUACGGUCGCAAGAUUAAAACUCAAAGGAAUUGUCGGGGACCCGCACAAGCGGUGGAUGAUGUGGAUUAAUUCGAUGCAACGCGAAGAACCUUACCUGGUCUUGACAUGUACGGAACCUUCCAGAGACGGAAGGGUGCCUUCGGGAGCCGUAACACAGGUGCUGCAUGGCUGUCGUCAGCUCGUGUCGUGAGAUGUUGGGUUAAGUCCCGCAACGAGCGCAACCCUUGUCAUUAGUUGCCAUCAUUCAGUUGGGCACUCUAAUGAGACUGCCGGUGACAAACCGGAGGAAGGUGGGGAUGACGUCAAGUCCUCAUGGCCCUUAUGACCAGGGCUUCACACGUCAUACAAUGGUCGGUACAAAGGGUAGCCAAGCCGCGAGGCGGAGCCAAUCUCAUAAAACCGAUCGUAGUCCGGAUUGCACUCUGCAACUCGAGUGCAUGAAGUCGGAAUCGCUAGUAAUCGCAGGUCAGCAUACUGCGGUGAAUACGUUCCCGGGUCUUGUACACACCGCCCGUCACACCAUGGGAGUGGGGGAUACCAGAAGU
rnacentral:rRNA from 1 species